rnacentral:lncRNA from 1 species
GUAACAACUUUAUUGUUGGAAUGGAAGAUGGCCUGUCUUGUUGUAGCAGAUCAGCACUGACAGUGAGGUAUUAACAGAAUGAAUGACUGUAACAUGUGAUUUCUUGAUUAAUCUGGAAAAGUGCAAGUUCACAUUCUGGUUGGCUGGUCAGUGUAAUCAAAUUCCACCCACAUCAGAGGUGCUCAGGGAGAGACAGCAAUAUGGAACAUAGUGGACAACCAUGCUAGCACACAGACAGUCACUAUGGAGAGUCUUGGAAAGAGUAAUGUGAGGUGACUUCUGCUCCAAAAUUACUAGUACAAAACACAUAAUCAGGAAGAAGUUAAGCAGCGGAAGCCUGAUAUUAAAAACAUAUUAACAUUUGUGUAGAGUGUGUUAUGUAAAUGGAAAAUCUGUAUAUCUUAUGCAGUAUCUAGACAGUAAAACUUGAUCUCAAAUAGAAGAAAAUUCAAGAAUACAGUAUGGCUUACACCAAAAUUAUUGACAUAGAUGUAACUAACGAGUUUUCGCUGAGUGAUUCAAACUUUAUAACAUGCAUCAUAUAGUCAAGUGCACUGUUUUCUUUUAGUUACGAACUUUAUUUGCUUGUGGUAAAUUACUGUUUGAUGCUAUGUUCACUAGUAAGUCUAGUAAGUCAGUCUGUCAAAUAUUGUUCAGUCUAAAAUAUUCAUUGAGAAAUGUUUCUAUAUUUAUCGGAAAUAUUGCCACAAAUAUCACACUAACCCUUGAUUCAUAUCUAAAAGGUCAAGGUCACACUUACAGGUUAAAGGUCAAUUCAGAUAUUAGCCUGACUGUAAAUAUGACAUGCAUAAAGCCCUUUUAUUUGGCAAAUAUAAUUGUCCAACAAGAUGGUGUUUCAAAGGGUCAGGGUCACAGUUCAGGGUCAAAGGUGGUGCCUGAUACAGCAAAUAUAAUUAAUGAACAUCAUCAACUUUGGAAAGUCAGAGACUUUGAAAACUGAUUACUAUCAUUAAAAAGUUUCAAGAAAUCUUACUGUGUGGAAAUAUUUUGCUUAAUUUGCUCACUUUACCAUGUUUACAUGUAUUUAUGCAUGAAACAUUCAUUAUACUAUGAACGAAUUUUGUAUACCAUUUUAACAAAGAAAUAUUUAGUUAGUUUAAAGUAGAUGCAAGGAAGAGUGUAAUUAUCUCCGCUGAAUAAUGUCAGUAUAGAUGUGUGUGUGUGUGUGUGUGUGUGUGUGUGUGUGUGUGUGUGUGUGUGUGUGUGUGUCAUUGAAAACCAUGAUUUGGUCAGUGAAAAUAUGGAAUUCAUUUGUCCUUGUUGAUGGUACCUUGAUCUCUGGAAAGUGCUUUAAUGCAUUUUUGUUGUCUGAUUUUCUGGUAGACAAAUGUCUUGCGCUUAAUUCACCUUUAUAUGGCACUUUUUGCAGAUCUUGCUAGCUACAUAUCAUGUUAAUAUGUAAUG